UCGCUUUCAGGUAAGAAUGUACAAGUCAGAAGAAAUCAUACUAAAAAACAUGAAUGUAAAACGAUAAAUGUGCAGAUUAUAAAUCAAUAAAAUGUUUACUGCAACAACGGAAUUUAAUGUUUCGUACGUUAUAAAUGAAGAUGCACUUCGCAUGCUAUAUGCAAGCGGUUAAAGCAUGCAUGAAAUAAAUUACAAAACAAUGAAAAUUUAUGAUAAUAAAUAUAAAACUUAUAAGAGUUCACUGUAUCGAAGAACAGAGACACGGGCAAUCAAUAUAAAUCCGUAUCUCAUCUUUAAAAAAAUCAGAAGUGCAAGUUCUUUUAUUCAAGCAAGCAAGGCUUCGUAUAUUACAUCCGAGGUCAGGAUAUGAUUAUCAGGGACAUUGUUA
rnacentral:misc_RNA from 1 species